rnacentral:other from 1 species
UUCCCUGCGUAGUGCGUAUAGACUGAAUUUUUAGAACCUACAAGUUUUGGAGAAGGGAGCCCGGUCUCUAGAUAUGGCGUGUAUGCUUGCAUUUAUGUAAGAAACCCAUAAGUAUUUAGGAAGGCACCCACCUGUGUGAGUACAGGUCCAUAAAAAUUCUUCACCUUACGGCUUAGACGUGGGGC